rnacentral:rRNA from 1 species
UACGUAGGGUGCAAGCGUUGUCCGGAAUUAUUGGGCGUAAAGAGCUCGUAGGCGGCUUGUCACGUCGGGUGUGAAAGCCCGCGGCUCAACCGCGGGUCUGCAGUCGAUACGGGCAGGCUAGAGUUCGGUAGGGGAGACUGGAAUUCCUGGUGUAGCGGUGAAAUGCGCAGAUAUCAGGAAGAACACCAAUGGCGAAGGCAGCUCUCUGGGACGGUACUGACGCUGAGACGCGAAAGCGUGGGGAGCGAACAGG